rnacentral:rRNA from 1 species
AGUGAACGCUGGCGGCAGGCCUAACACAUGCAAGUCGAGCGGCAGCGCGUCCGACCACCCUCGGGUGGUCGGAUGGCGGCGAGCGGCGGACGGGUGAGGAAUGCAUCGGAAUCUGCCUCGUUGUGGGGGAUAACGUAGGGAAACUUACGCUAAUACCGCAUACGACCUACGGGUGAAAGUGGGGGACCUUCGGGCCUCACGCGAUGAGAUGAGCCGAUGCCGGAUUAGCUAGUUGGCGGGGUAAAGGCCCACCAAGGCGACGAUCCGUAGCUGGUCUGAGAGGAUGAUCAGCCACACUGGAACUGAGACACGGUCCAGACUCCUACGGGAGGCAGCAGUGGGGAAUAUUGGACAAUGGGGGCAACCCUGAUCCAGCCAUGCCGCGUGUGUGAUGAAGGCCUCGGUUGUAAGACUCUUUUGGUCGGGUACGGAGUGAUGACGGUACCCGC